AAUGGAAACUGCAGAGUGAACCACGUAUACAAAUGCAAGUUUCUUUUGUCUGUAGGAGGCACCAACCCUACAGAAACACAGAGGUCUCUAACUUAGCACAGCUGGCAAGUCUGAUUAUUUCCCUCGACACAAC